AGAGUUUGAUUAUGGCUCAGGAUGAACGCUGGCGGCGUGCCUAACACAUGCAAGUCGAGCGAUUCUCUUCGGAGAAGAGCGGCGGACGGGUGAGUAACGCGUGGGUAACCUGCCUCAUACACAUGGAUAACAUACCGAAAGGUAUGCUAAUACAGGAUAAUAUAAGAGAUUCACAUGGAUUUCUUAUCAAAGCUCCGGCGGUAUGAGAUGGACCCGCGUCUGAUUAGCUAGUUGGUAAGGUGACGGCUUACCAAGGCGACGAUCAGUAGCCGACCUGAGAGGGUGAUCGGCCACAUUGGAACUGAGACACGGUCCAAACUCCUACGGGAGGCAGCAGUGGGGAAUAUUGCACAAUGGGCGAAAGCCUGAUGCAGCAACGCCGCGUGAGUGAUGAAGGCCUUCGGGUCGUAAAACUCUGUCCUCAAGGAAGAUAAUGACGGUACUUGAGGAGGAAGCCCCGGCUAACUACGUGCCAGCCGCUGC
rnacentral:rRNA from 1 species